rnacentral:lncRNA from 1 species
AGUGAAAAAAAGUUUCUCUAAAUGAAGAAAAAAAAGAGUGAAGGAAUAAAAAAAAGAGAAUUUAAAUGAAUUUAAAUGACGACAUUAAAAAAUACACACUGAAGGUCUGUGCAGUCUCAGGUUUGGACUAACACACUCCUGCUUUAGUGUAAUGGAUGACAGUGUCACACACACGGAGCGCUGUUUAACUUCAACCACUCUGUGUGUGUGUGUGUGUGUGUGUGUGUGUGUGUGUGUGUGUGUGUGUGUGUGUCAAAUCCAUCCAUCACACCUGAGUGACGCUGAUUGCUCACAGGAAGCGCCCGUGGCCUUACUGCUUCCUGAUUGGCCCGUCCCUGUGGGCUCCCAACAUGCACUGGGGUUAAACAGUGAGACUUAGAAUAACACGUGGAUUAAAUGAGUUUCUACGAAUAAAAACAGACUCUGGACUGAAACGGGAACUCAAACAGCUUCUUGUUUGACCGCUGACACGAUCUGGAGGAACUUUACAGAAGAUCUACAACGACCCAGGUGACCUUCGCAGUUAACGCAGAAAUGACAACUUCAGAAACAUGUCCAAAAAUCCAAAUCUGCCCUGAGAUGGUCGAAACAAAGCCCGACAAAUAACCACUGAGCUGACUCUGACUUUGAGGCUCAGAAAACACAAGUCCUCGGCCUCACAGACCCUCUGCUCGGGUCUCCUGAGAUGAAGACCACAUUACUCCUGACAUCCACACCUUUUCUUCACCAUUAGGAGAGUCCUGAUCCAGUUCAGCCCCUCUACAGUUACUCCCUGAUCUCUAAGUAUCUGGUUUUCCAUCUGAACAGUGCGGUUAGUGUCAGCUCUUCUUCUCUGGUCUGUCAGUGAUAAAGCUGUUAAACUUGGUCUCCUACAGAUCUGAAGAACUUCCACCAAACACUCAGAUUCAUUUACAUUAUCUGAGUUUUUGUGCGUUUGUUGUUAUUAAAGUUCAGGUUUUUUUCUUUGCAGCAUGUUUCCACUGUCAUGUUUGUUUUGGACGUUUCUCCUGAUGACGAUGGUUCAGAUCAUCUGCCUUUUUCCCAGGUGGACUUUUAAAAAACAUGUAAACACAUUAGUCUGAGUGAAAUUACACUCAGCUGAGCUCCUCAUCGUCCAAACCGAGAUAAAGUGUCAGGACUCAGACGGCUGCAAACAAACUGGGUCAAAGUCUGUCCGCUCAAAGUUCUCAGACUGUUAUUUUUACAGGAUCCCUUCAGAAAUAAACCUUUUAGUUCAAGAGGACGUUGUUUCAUUUUAGGCCGGAAACAACCUUUGAACCGCUCUGCUCAAGGCCACCAGACACUGUUAACAAACACGUCCUACAAAACCUUAAAACUGAGUUAAAAAUCUGGAGCAACAUGAAAAUGGAGCGGCGGCUUUAAAAGGAGCGAUUUUAAGUGUUUUUAUGUGUCAGUAUUUGACAAGGUGGACAUAAUCGAUAAAUCUAAAUAAAAUUUAUGAAUAAAGAAAAAACAUCUGUGUGUGUGUGUGUGUGUGCUCAGAAAGCAGAAAAUUAAAAUAUAAAUGCAUGAAACAGCGAGAACAACACGGGUUAUUUCUUUAUGAUAAUACAAACAAACUGACGGCCAACACAAAGAGAGAGCAUGAAAAAUCACAUUCAUUAGGGGCACACACACACACACACACACACACACGCACACACACACUGACCUGGACCACAGUGUUGUCUGGAUAAACUACAUCAAUGUAUUCCUCUG